CCAGACUCCUACGGGAGGCAGCAGUGAGGAAUAUUGGUCAAUGGGCGCAAGCCUGAACCAGCCAAGUCGCGUGAGGGAAGACGGCCCUACGGGUUGUAAACCUCUUUUGCCGGGGAGCAAGCCUGAGCACGUGUGCCCAGGCGGAGAGUACCCGGAGAAAAAGCAUCGGCUAACUCCGUGCCAGCAGCCGCGGUAAUACGGAGGAUGCGAGCGUUAUCCGGAUUUAUUGGGUUUAAAGGGUGCGCAGGCGGGAGAUCAAGUCAGCGGUAAAAUGUCGGGGCUCAACCCCGGCCGGCCGUUGAAACUGGUUUUCUAGAGUUGGAGAGAAGUAUGCGGAAUUCGUGGUGUAGCGGUGAAAUGCAUAGAUAUCACGAAGAACUCCGAUUGCGAAGGCAGCAUACCGGCUCCAUACUGACGCUGAGGCACGAAAGCGUGGGGAUCGAACAGGAUUAGAUACCCCGGUA
rnacentral:rRNA from 1 species